ACUGUUCCUAACAGCUAGCCCCUCCCCUAAAAACAACAAACACUAUUAAUAACCCCCUAGACACUAGACACCUAAGCAACAAACCAUUUUUCCUCCUAAGUAUGGGCGACAGAAAA
rnacentral:rRNA from 1 species